AUGAGAAAAUUACCUGCAGCCACUAGAUAAAUGCCUCCAAUAAGCCAGAAACUUUGACAGAUACGCUUAUUCAAAGGUUAAUGCAUUCAACACUGACUGGAAAUUGCUCAUUGAUAAAAGCAAAUAACACAGUGUCUGGUACAUGACAGGUACUUACCAAAGAUUUGUGAAGUGAAAAGCGGAGUAUGAGGGUGGAAAGAGUGCUGUGUGGACUGCUGCAUUAACUGCCGCCAGGAUUCCCUCUGAAGAAGAAAUGUGGUGCCGUCUUUCUCUGCAAGCAAGCUGUGUCUUCUGUCCUUUAUCUUCUGGAUUUGGAUAGGCCAAAAGGGGCUCUGUCCUAUGAAGAUAUAAAUGCUUAAUCAAACAUAAUAUUCCCCUGGUGAAUGUUGUCUUGUGUUCUACUUAUGAAGACCCCAUUCUGCCAUGUCGCCACUAUUUCUCGUUUUAUCCCUCAUGGAGCUUGCUUUCAACU